rnacentral:lncRNA from 1 species
AAGCUGUAAUAUAUUUGGUAAUAAAUCACAAUCAAUCUAAUGUGUGCUGGUGUGAUUUACCUCGGCGCUGGGCGGGUCACAGAGGCCACAACAGGCUGGCGAUUGAUAAUAGCACAAUUUCCGACAGAGACCGCACCUUGAAGGCGGCGUGUGCUGUCCAGCCGCUCCACCCAGUGAGCAUUGGCACCUCGGUCCAGUCUAGGCGCUGGGGCUGGAUCCUGCACUCUGCCAGGGAGCACCUCUGUUAUGAACACACAGUAAACCUGGGAUCAGCGGCUGGACCAAGUACGGAGAUGAUGUGGCGUCUUGUGAUCCUGCUAGGAGUUGCCCUCACUGUGGACUGCUAUGCCGUCCGUGACAUACAUGAGCGCUUGGCCCACGGUCGCCAGCUGAAGAUCUACCUGCCCAAGAGUGCAGAGAAGCUGGAGUUCACACCAGCGGAUGAACCCGGCCAGACAUUUCUGUACUGGGAGAAUGGGAGACACAG